GCAUGUUCCUACUAAAAAUGUUAAAGAAGUCAUAUAAGGUAAUAGAUCAAAUGUUUAAUUCAAACUGGCUUAUAUAAUACACCCAAAGAGGAGUCUUUAAUGUAGCAAAAGAAAAAUAGGAGGCUGAAUAUCUAUGAAUGUUUUAUUCAUUAAAUAUAUAAAAAGUUCUUAAAGCCUUAAGGAAUAGAAAGAUUUAAAAAAGAAAGAGUUAGGGUUAGGGUCAGUUAGGUUAGGGUUAGGUGACAUUUCCCCUAUCAGGGAAAGAAGAAGAGUUGGCACCAAGGCAAACAGCUCACUCCCUAGAAACCUUAUAGUGGAAGGAGGAAAAGUAAUUCUACAAUUAGUCUUCUGACCUACACAUACACUAUGACACAUGAAAUUAAUAAAUUAAUUAAUUUAUUUAUAAUAGAAAAUAUGGGUUGAAGUAUAGCUCAGUGAUGGUUCACUUACCUAGCAUAUGGGAGCCCUAGAAUUCCCCCUCUUAAUUUAAAGAGAGCGAAGGAAAGUAAGGAGAAAUGAGAGGGUGAGAGAAAAGAAGCAGGAAAAGAGAGAGGGAAGAAGGGAACUACAGAAAUCAGCCAUCAACCCCAAGUGAAAACAAAAGUGUGCUAAAAGUUUAAGUGUAAUAGGAGAAAAUGACAGAGUAGACGUUGAAUAGCUGAUUGGAAGGAACACUAAUGGAGUGAGGCUUCCUGGUGGUUGGCAGUAGAUGUCAUCCUCUCUAAAUUUCCAAAACAAGACAUGAGACAAGUCUCUCACAUCAGGCAAGUUGUUAAUGAGUAGUUACAAAAAAUGAACUGAGAGUAGAGGAUGGUGAUGUACGCCUGUACAGCUGAAACUCAAUACUUGAGAGGCUCAGGCAGAAGGAUCAAGGGCAACAGAGUGAGACUCUGCCUCUAAAACAAAUACAGUGAAGCACCACAUUAUAGAAGCAAAACAGGAGAGUGGAAUUUGGGGAAUGCUGAUUUCUCAACACUAGUGCCUGUUAGACAAAUCAGGAUCCUGCCUACAAGGAUGCCACACAGGACUCAAUCUACACAAGCUCCUAAAGCCUUUCCUCACCACCCUACUACACCUCUCCACUCCACCCCUUCUCCUAUGUGCUAAAAGAUGCUACUCUUGUUCUUGUGACGCCGAAUGGCCAUGUACACAUGCAGGAUGUGUCUCCACAAUGUCUAAGAUGAAAAACCACAAUAAAGUAAACACAGUCCCCCAAACCAAAAAUAAAAUCUAAAAUUAUAAAUGAGUAUAGAAUAAACAAAGUUUUAAAACCCAUGAAAACUUAAUUGCAGCUUUCUUUUGGUUGCUGAGUGAAGUCAAGGCAAAUUAACAAACAUCUAGACGCACUAGGAAAGUACCACGUGAGUCAUGGCCCUCAGAAUAUAAGACAAAGCAAAGAAAUUUUAAAAUGUUGAGCUUUCCUUGUUCAAAUCACAGAGAUCCAUUUUUUAAGUGUACAUAAAACAAGAUUAGAUGUACAUACAACAAGAUUAGAUGUACCCAGUAGCUCUCUUCAAAUACUGGAACCAUCAUUGGUGUCCAUUAGUAAGUAGUAUCUGUAUAACACUGCACCAUUCAUGAAUAAAAAGUAAUCCACUCCUGAUUAAAAUAGCAUAUAUGCAUCUCUCAUAAACAUCCUUCAGGGUAAAAGAAAAUUUUGCAUAAAAUAUGGCACACUGAAUUAUGUGAUUGUGUGAAACAUACAAAACUAACCUGUGCUUUAAAAGAUCAUUAUAGUGAUUGUCUCUGAGAGAUAGAAGCCUGGUUCCAUGCAAAAGGACUAGAGAUCACUUUCAGGAUGAAGCUAGUGUGCUAGAUUGUCAUAGAAUUUGAAGUACACACCUUCUCCAGAAUUCAGGCAACCAUGUGUAUGCUCGCAAUGAAUGUACAUUGCCUAAAGUAUUAUUCUCAACCUAUGGGUCAUGACACCUUAGUCAUGUUAUAAUUUAUAACAGUAGCAAAAAUACAGUUAUGAAGUAGCAAUGAAAUAAUGUAAUGGUUGGGGGUCACUACAACAUAAGGAAUCGUAUCAAAGGGUCACAGCAUUAGGAAAGUGGAGAACCACUGCCUUAAAGAAACCUUAAAACAUAUUUCUGAAAUGUUUAGGAGUGAGGCUUAUUGCAGUUUACAACUUAUCUUAAAAUAUAUGAAGACACUGAUAAAAAUUUCAAGAUGAGCAGAUAUGUAACAAAGCAAUCAAUAAAAUUUAGGUGGUAUGUUAAUGAUUUGUCUCAUAUAAGUGUCUCACAUUUUCUCCAAUAGUUCAAAUUUCAUUUUAAAGUGUAAAAAAUAUAAAUAACUAAACUCUGACGGAGCUGACAAAGUUUUUUUUUUCCAUUCUACACAAGGCUGUCUCUUCGCCAUUGUACUAAUUUCCUUUGCUGUAUGAGCUUUUGAACUUAAUAUGAUCCUAUUUAUUAAUUCUUGAGACUAUUUUCUCUGCUACUGGAGUCCUUUGCAAAAAGUCCUUGCCUUUGCCUUUGCCCUGCCAGUAUCUUAAAGAGUAUUUUCGUAUAUUUUCAUCCUGCAGUUUCAAUUUUUCAAGUUCUAUACUAAGGUAUGGUUUCCAUUUUGAUUUUUGUGUAUGCAGGAUAAGAAGUGGGAAUCCAGCUUCAUUGUUCUACAUGUGAUAUUCGGUUUUCCUAGAACCUGUUGUUGAAGAGGGUGUCUUUUUCAAUGCAUGUUUUGUGACUUUUGUCAAAAGUUAGGUGACUAUCGCUGUGUGGGCGUAUUUCUAAGCUGUCUAUUCCAUCACUUUACGUGCUUGUCUUUGUGCCAGUGCCACAUGGUUUUUGUUAUUAUCACUUCACUAUAUAAUUUAAUAUCAGAUAUCUCAUCAGUGUCUUUCUGCCUAGAAUUAUUUUGGUAUUCAGGGUCCCUUGCAGGUCUACAUGAAUACCUGGGACCUAUAAAGCAAUUCAAAAAUCAAACACC
rnacentral:lncRNA from 1 species